rnacentral:lncRNA from 1 species
UUAUGUGCAUGGCAAAAUAGACAUUUACAAUGUAAUAGCAUACUCUUUUUAAUUUAUCAAAAUUAUUGAUAACACGUUAUGGCAGUAUUUUCGUGUUUUGAUAGUUGCCUUACUGUGGAAUAUGUUGUUUAUUUGUCAAUUUAAAGGAUUAUUACUGUACAUGCAGUUUUAUUAUCUAUAAUACACAAAUGUUUACAUGAAUUAUUGUCCUGAAAAAGAAUGAAAUAUUUGC